GGCCGCCUGGCGUAAUGGCAACGCGUCUGACUACGAUCCUUCUCAGGGUUAAGUUAUCAGGAGAUUGCAGGUUCGACCCCUGCGGUGGUCA